rnacentral:rRNA from 1 species
GACAGAGGCCUCGAGCGUUGGACGGAAUCACUGGGCUUAAAGCGUGUGUAGGCGGAAUUGCAAGUACCUUGUGAAAUCCCACGGCUCAACCGUGGAACUGCUUGGUAUACUGCUUUUCUUGAGCAAUCUAGGGGCGAGUGGAACAGAUGGUGGAGCGGUGAAAUGCGUAGAUAUCAUCUGGAACGCCAAUGGUGAAGACAACUCGCUGGGGAUUCGCUGACGAUGAGACACGAAAGCCAGGGGAGCGAACGGG